UACGAAGGGGGCUAGCGUUGCUCGGAAUUACUGGGCGUAAAGCGCACGUAGGCGGCUCUUUAAGUCGGGGGUGAAAUCCUGGAGCUCAACUCCAGAACUGCCUUCGAUACUGGAGAGCUCGAGUCCGGGAGAGGUGAGUGGAACUGCGAGUGUAGAGGUGAAAUUCGUAGAUAUUCGCAAGAACACCAGUGGCGAAGGCGGCUCACUGGCCCGGUACUGACGCUGAGGUGCGAAAGCGUGGGGAGCAAACAGG
rnacentral:rRNA from 1 species